rnacentral:lncRNA from 1 species
AAAGCAGUCGAAAAUCGCGAUUCAGUGUGCGAAACUUGUUUUAUGAAACAUCAUGAAGAGCUGCUUCAGGAUAACAACCACGUCGUCUGCUACCACACAUGAAUGAUGGGAUGGUGAACCAUGACAACUGAUCAAAAUAAUGGCAAGAUUUCAAGAGACAUCUCAUCUAUUGGAGGUGUUCAAGGAAACGAAGCCCUCACGGGUGAAAAAGAAAGCGGUCAAGAGUCAAAAGAGGUCCAGCCCCCCCCCCCCCUCCCCGCCCUGCUUUUCGAAUUUGCAGCACUUGCAGUGGCCUGAAAUUUAGGGGAAAAUGUUCUUGGGUCCACUCUUGGUGUCCCCUAAAAACAAGAUGGUGCCUUCCCCUGCCCUCCAACCCCAACACUGACCAAAUCCUGGCUCAGGCUAGCCGCGGCAUUUGAAGUGGCUGUGUGAGUUGCCUUUUCUUGUGCAAGCCUGGAUGAAAUUCCUAUAUGAUCUUUUCAAGCUUUUGGGUUUAUCCUCACACGUUCUUUGCUGCUGGAAUGCCUAUUUCUGUUUAUAAAGUUUUACUCACAGGCUUCUUGAACUUUGAUUCUUUCAGUUUACAAUAAAGAGAUUGCAUCGACUGAAAUUCAUUUUCAUGCACUAAAAACAACUAACUGGACACAUUUCAUUAGACUGAGUUUUGUGACUUGAGUCCAGUUGAGUCCUUAUCAGAAAGUUACUCCUGUUGAGUUGAGUCAUUAAGUCAAGAAGGCCGAGUUGAGUCACAGUUUGUGGUCAAGUUGAGUCAAAUUUAUGUUCGAGUCAAUUUGAUUUUCUGAUGUUUCAACACCUUAUAAUAAAUUUAUAAAUAAUUUUUGACUGGAAGAACAUACACAAGACACCCAUUUAUUAUGAAGAUCCAAAGACGUGAGUCCCAUCCAUGUCAAUACAAUGUAUGUGCAUUUUUUCUUCUAAGCCCUCGAACACACAAUACAAUGUUUGUUCAGAUAUUUUGUAAAUAAUGUGUUCAUAUAUUAAAGAAGUAUUUAUUUGUCGGCUAUAUACACAUUUUUAAACAGUUGCUUUUUUGUUUUCCCUGAACAGAAAAUUUACUUAUUGUUUUUAUGAAUAAAGGAGGUAUUAAUUACUAAUAAAUGGAUCUUUAUCAUGUACCGACAUAAUCUUGUAAGCACUAAAUAAGUUUAGUGUCAAAAGCAAUGAAAACUGAAAUAAUAGUUAUAAUCCAUGGAUGAUACACAGACAAUUUUUUUUUUUCAAUUUCGAGAAGCACGAUAUGCAAGAACAAAAGUUGUCAAGUUAUGAAAUGUCCAAUGAAUGUAGACUGAAGCAAUAAGUUAUAUACUUUAAUAGGCAAAUGGAAGGUUAUUUUCUAAAUGUAUUUCUUGAAAGUGUGUCAAUAAAUUAAAAAAAAGACACUGUGGCAAUAUU